rnacentral:rRNA from 1 species
ACGGGUGCGGAACACGUACGCAACCUUCCUUCAAGCGGGGCAUAGCUUUCGGAAACGAAAAUUAAUACCCCAUAGUAAUAUCUGAGGGCAUCUGAGGAUAUUUAAAGAUUUAUCACUUGAAGAUGGGCGUGCGCCUGAUUAGGUAGUUGGCGGGGUAACGGCCCACCAAGCCUACGAUCAGUAACUGGUGUGAGAGCACGACCAGUCACACGGGCACUGAGACACGGGCCCGACUCCUACGGGAGGCAGCAGUAAGGAAUAUUGGUCAAUGGACGCAAGUCUGAACCAGCCAUGCCGCGUGGAGGAUGAAGGUCCUCUGGAUUGUAAACUUCUUUUAUCGGAGAAGAAACCCCCGAGUUCUCUUGGGGUUGACGGUACCCGAUGAAUAAGCACCGGCUAACUCCGUGCCAGCAGCCGCGGUAAUACGGAGGGUGCAAGCGUUAUCCGGAUUCACUGGGUUUAAAGGGAGCGUAGGUGGGCUGGUAAGUCAGUGGUGAAAUCUCCGGGCUUAACUCGGAAACUGCCGUUGAUACUAUCAGUCUUGAAUGUUGUGGAGGUAAGCGGAAUAUGUCAUGUAGCGGUG